rnacentral:lncRNA from 10 species
CAAAGACGGGCAGCUUUGGCUGCACCCCUGGGCAGUUCCCUGGGUAUGCACAUUGAUGCAAUUAUAAUGUCCUCGCUAUGAGAUUUCCCACCACCCACGCUGGUGUUCACAUCUAGCGGCAUCACAGAGAGGUAGAACUAAAGGGAAGAAGUUGAUGGAUGCCAUCUGGUAUUGCAGAUGAUGACAGGUUUUCUCAGCUAUGAAGAGGAAAACUAACAGAUUCCUGAGUCAGCAACACAACCUGCUUGAGAAUGAGGACAACACAGAACAGAGCAUAACUGAGACAUGGGAAAAAUAGCUUUCAGGUAACAGAUUUUUGAGCACCUUGAUACAUCUGAGCCUGAAUACAAUUUUGCCACGGAGAUGUUGAGUUAUAUCAACCAAUAAAUUCUCUUUUGGGUUUUAUGGCAGUUUUCAGAAUGUUUUCUGAUUCUUGCAACCAAAAGAGUUCUUAUUAACUCACUAAUAAAAUGAACACGUAGGAUUGUGUCAAAAAACAAAAUCUGUAACUAUGGAAAGAGAACACCCUAAGUUACAAAGUGAGUAUUACUCCAGUGAUUUACCACUGAAAAAGGAAAGCACUUCCUCAGUGUGGCACUUUCCUGAGAGGGAAUGAGGGGUGGA